rfam:Actinospica robiniae DSM 44927 genomic scaffold ActroDRAFT_ARA.1, whole genome shotgun sequence.
GCGGACGUGGCUCAGUGGUAGAGCAUCACCUUGCCAAGGUGAGGGUCGCGGGUUCAAAUCCCGUCGUCCGCU